rnacentral:rRNA from 1 species
GACGAACGCUGGCGGCGUGCUUAACACAUGCAAGUCGAACGGGUCUGCCCUGUUUUUUGCGGGGUGGGUCAGUGGCGAACGGGUGAGUAACACGUGAGUAACCUGCCCCUCACUUCUGGAUAACCGCUUGAAAGGGUGGCUAAUACGGGGUGUUCUGGCUGUGCCGCAUGGUGUGGCUGGGAAAGAUUCACUUUUGUGGUGUUUUGGUGGGGGAUGGGCUCGCGGCCUAUCAGCUUGUUGGUGGGGUGAUGGCCUGCCAAGGCUUUGACGGGUAGCCGGCAUGGGAGGGUGGGCGGUCACACUGGGACUGAGAUACGGACCAGACUCCUGCGGGAGGCAGCAGUGGGGGGUAGUGCACAAUGGGCGGAAGCCUGAUGCAGCGACGUCGCGUGAGGGAUGGAGGCCUUCGGGUUGUGAACCUCUUUCGCCGGUGAAGAAGGUCCUGCUCUUUGUGGUGGGGUUGACGGUAGCCGGGUUAUGAAGCGCCGGCUAACUACGUG